rnacentral:rRNA from 1 species
CCCCUAGACGUUCUGGGCUGCACGCGCGCUACAAUAAUACGCACAGCGAGUAUCACCGAGCUCGAAAGGGCAAGGUAAACAAUAGAAAAGGUACUGUAAUGGUUAUAGAUCCUUGUAAUUAUUGAUCUUCAACGAGGAAUUCCUAGUAAGUAUGUUUCAUCAUCACGCACUGAUUACGUCCCUGCCCUUUGUACACACCGCCCGUCGCUCCUACCGAUUGGGUGAGCCGAUGAAACUCUCGGAUGUAGGCUAUUCAUAGCCCGCAGAAGAGAUUUGAAUCGUAGCGCUUAGAGGAAGGAGAAGUCGUAACA